UUUUGGAGAUCAGACAGCUCUGGUAUUAGAAAAAAGUACAGCCCAAACCAAGAAAGUUGAUGUUUAUGUUGACGGCACAUACUCGACUUCUGCAGUUGUUUCUGCCACUGAUACAAGGGCAUACAUUGACAUCAGUGGAUGCAGGUUCUCAGGUAAAGGCUUUUCUCCUAAUACAACACAUGUAAAUGAAACCUGCACCAGCGUCUCAUGCGGUCUUGACAGAUCCAUCACACUCUCAGGCUGUAAUGAUGGGGAACGCUGUGAUGGCC